UUGACAACAUUCCUCUUGUAUCUGUCUGGGCAGUCACUAUUGGCACUGAGGCACAUUCGUAUGUUUGUUUCCUUCGUGUAGACUGCAGUGUGGAAGCACCCACACAGCUGACCACAAGGUCUGGAUAACUCACCCACACACAGCUGACCACAAGGUCUGGAUAACUCACCCACACAGCUGACCACAAGGUCUGGAUAACUCACCCACACACAGCUGACCACAAGGUCUGGAUAACUCACCCACACACAGCUGACCACAAGGUCUGGAUGAACAUGGAUGUAGGCGCUUGCCUGUAAUAGUUUUUUUGGCUCGUCAGCCGCCAGUACAGUAGUCUUUGUGUAUAGUUAUUUACAUCCGUGAUUGCAGCAAAUGUUAGCGACGAGAUGAAAAGUGAAUGGUUGAUGCAGGUGGGUGUGGAGCCACCCCCCCGGUGUAUCGUUAGACAAGGGGUGGUUGGGGGGGGGGGUCUGGCAGGGUAACUUGGCUAUUUUAAAGACGCCUCCGUCAACCCGCCAAUUAUUUUCACCAGGAACAUGAACUCGGCUACAUGUUUCUGUUCGUAUUGCUUCACUCUCAAUAUUAAUGCUAUUUGGCGUUGACUCUGCUGGUUUAGUUAUCAAUAUAUUUGAUAACUAUUAUGAAACACUUUUAAAGUUUCUUUAAUCCCAGUCAACCAACAUUCCUUGUUUUUGUAUGAGAAUGUCAGUGCCCCAUGCUUGCUAUUUCCGGGAGCAGGCUUGGGGCCAUGGACCCCGAGGUGCUUCCUGCCCGCAAGCAUCAUUGUCUAGCACGUCAACUCUACGGACACGAAUACCUGCGUUUUACCACUGAGCUCCGUCGGGUCAAGAGUCCUCAGAGCGUGUGCACAAAUGACCAACAUUUCUCUGUAAAAUUAUAUCUUUCUCAAUUAAAUUUUAAGCAGCAUAUUAUAAUUUAUUUACGUUUUGUAUUUUACAGUUUUCCCCGUGGAGAAAGAGAGCAAAAUACUUAAGAUAAUUCUUGAAAUAAUGAGAACAAUGCCGCACCAACCAUGGCUGAUUAUAUGAGGCGUGCGUGUGGUAGUCGGUGUGAAGCAGACAACACUUGUUUCGUCACUAAGGUGUCGCUACGUGCCUGGACCAGUCUUCCUGACCGCCGGGACCCGGACCCGCCACACCCCAGGACAAGCACUUGACGCAACGCACUCCAAACCAUCAACGCCCUUAACAGGGCAAGUACUCAACACAACGCACUCCAUACCAUCAACGCCUUCAGCAUGCACAAGGAAGACAGCCGAGGAAGGAAGGAGCCUCAACGGGCCAACGGUACAAGUGGGCGGUGCGGUGCAAGGAGUUUGAUCACCUGAACGGCGGAAAUAUAUUGUUAAAUAUAUUGUUAUUUGUGUAAUACAAACUAUUUGAUUCAUGUUUUUCUUCAUCACGUAUAGUACUAAAAACAUGGGUAAAGAUAUGUGUCAUAACGGAAGAGUACAGGUAUUAAUUACAACAUCAUGCAUGCUUUCAAGAGGUCCAGCGCAUGUUGAGGGCUGACAGCCGGCUGACACUGUCCUCCUACCAUUGGCUCAUCCAGUAUAUUGCUACUUGUUCCAGUGUACAAUACUUUGGUGGGCAUGGAGCUCACCCACAUCCCAGGUGUAUUAAAUACUGCCAGUGUAUUAAUAUACAUUACUUCCCUUGUUUUGUUAAUCAGAUGUGAAUGACUGUUGGUUUGUAUUAAUAUACAUUACUGCCAGUGUAUUAAUAUAUAUUACUUCCCUUGUUUUGUUAAUCAAAUGUGAAUAACUGUUGGUUUUGUCUCAUGGUCAGUGUUUUCCAUGUAUACUUUUCCUUCACUUCUUGUUCUUUAUAAUAAAUGCUAAAAAUGAUCA
rnacentral:lncRNA from 1 species